rnacentral:rRNA from 1 species
AUGCCUUCUUCUUUGCCUCCUGUUGUCGCUAACCUUUUGCAGGAGUAUCAUGAUGUUUUCCCAAAGGAAGUACCACCAGGGCUGCCACCUAUGAGAGGAAUUGAACAUCAAAUUGACUUGAUAACUUGCGCCUCAUUACCCAACCGUGCGCCGUACCGGACUAAUCCAGAGGAGACCAAGGAGAUUCAGCGACAAGUUCAAGAACUACUUGACAAAGGUUACAUUAGUGAAUCCCAUAGUCCAUGUGCUGUACCAAUUUUACUUGUUCCAAAAAAGACGGUACUUCGCGUAUGUGUGUUGACUGUAGAGCCAUCAAUAAUAUUACAAUUCGAUAUCGUCAUCCUAUUCCUAGAUUAG